GCCGGCGCUAGCUCAUGUCCGGUAGAGCAUGAGACUCUUAAUCCACCCAAGGGUCGUGGGUUCGAGCCCCACGUUGGGCG